ensembl:lncRNA
CUUUUGUGGAAGGGCUCUUCUACAAAUGAAAAGGAGACUGUGCUUGAAGGACCACUGAAGGCAUCCCAAGGCCUUGGGUGGAAGCUAACAUUAUUUAGGUUGGGCUAUCCAGGCUACAAAAAUAUAUACAAAAGAGUGGCUUUAACCUUAAGAAGUAGCUUUUCAUGACUGGAAGGUGCAUGUAAGACUUACUAAUGACUGUUUUAUGUGGCCAAGAGGGUCCAGACGUGGAAGGGACAAUAAACAGUACCUGCAUCAGGCUAUUUAUAAGGUGCUUAGCAUAUUUGUACCCUGUAAAUUCAUUAAUAGUGGCCUAGCCCUUUUGCACAAAAUAAAAUAAAUAAAUUACUCGCUUCAAACAUGUUUAAAUAUUCAGAAUAUUUUAAAGGAUUUUGACAGAGUCCGUUGAAUUUUUUUUUUUUUUUUUUUUUGGUAGGAGCACAAACUUAAUUCUGGGCAGCUAACCAGAGGGUUCAGGUAGACUUGGGUGUGUGUAGAGAGUUUACAAGUAAAAUUUUGUGUUCCAUUUGCAAAUAAUUAAGUGUUUUUUGAGGGAGAGGAAAUACAGAUGGCAAAGUUUAUCUCAAGGCCGGUGAGCCAGGUUCAGCUGAGAGGCGGGGCAGAGUCCAUCUUUCUCAUGUGACUUAGAGUAGGCUGAAAAAAAAGUAGUCAGUAGAAACCAAAGAAAGCUUCUUCACUAUGAGCUCUGUGAAAUAACUGUUCAGGUUUUAGAGGGAAGGAUCAAUAAAUUAUAACCUGUUUCCCUUUCAGUAUCCAAAACCAAUUGAAAAACAAGACACAAGAUGCAGGUAAUGAUUUAAAAAGCAAGCAACAAAACAAAACAACCCCACCUUAUUUUGAACCAAACAUGGAGUGAAGGACAAGAUUUCUAGGUAUAGCCAAAGAGCCUUACUAAGAUUUUAUCUGUGAAUUGGGCAGACUUACCCAAGCAGUGCCUGGCACUUUUGAACACUGCAGGACCCCUUGUGCAGGCAGUCCACUUGCAUUUCAAAGAGCAGACUUGAGUCCUCAGAGAUAAUUUGGGAGAGGCUGAGCCACAUGAUCCCACCUCCCUCUGCCCAACUCUCUCAUCAAACAAUUUACUUCUCUUUCCCAAAGGAGAAAAAUGCAUUAGGGGUAGGAGGAGUGGAGCUGUGUGUGCUGUGCUUUCCUUCCCAAGGAAGAGUGAUGAGUGGGAAACUUGCAUCCUUCCCAACAAUAUUGAGAAUAUAGACAGUCGAGGGGGCUAGAAACAAGAGGAGGUGAUGAAGACAUGGCUCUUAGGACUUUUAAUCCUCACAGCAUUUGGUAUAAAUAACUGUGGUACGGCCUCAGCUAAGAGCAUCAGGCUUUGAUUUUUAUCUCCAGGUGUGGCCCAGAAGAUAUGGUGCUCGCCUAAAGUUCACAGUAUCUUGGAGCACAUGCUUGAUAUUAGUAAAAUUGAAAGUUAUAUUACAAAUAUUUUUAGUCCUGUAUGUAAGUAGCUAGAUAAAAUUGGACAAACAUUGCCAUCAGUUUUAUCGUAUACAUAUUCCUAAGUUAAUUAGAAUAUCAGUUAUUCUGAAUAUCCCAUUUCAACCAUUUUGAAUCAAUGAGUUAUUCAACUGAAUAAACAUUCCUUUUAUAAAGAUCUGUUGUUUUCCAGGCACUGUCUUGAUAACAGACACAGAGAAAUGAAGGCGACACUUUCCUUGCCUGUCAAAGUCUAUACCAUGUAGAAUUUAUAGACCUGUAGCUAUAGACCUGUAGCUAAUUCGAUGCAACACAACAAAAGUACAUUGAUAGAGGCAGUGCAGAAGUGACAAAAAAGAGUGUUCAGAUCUUUGGGGGCCUAAAGGAAGGCUGGGAUUUGAGUCAAGAGUGAAAGUAUCCUUUAACAGCCUCCUAAAAAAUAAGUGAGAUGUUGCCUGCUGGGCUUGGGAUGAGAGAGGACAUUCCAGGUAGCAACUGGAGAAGUUCUCACAAUAAUAGGAUGCUUUGUUUGUGGAAUUACAGAUCAUGCUAUUACUGAGGAGCAGAAUUCAACUUUAGCAUUGACAAGAGUUAAAGAGCAAGAUAUAAGUUGAAGCUAGCUCUUAUAAGUUAUUAAGUGCCAUGUUUCUGUUGUGAUUAAGUUUUUAUUGCUUUUCUUUGCGUUCUCUUCUUCAGCAAUAGAUACUGCCCUCUCAUGCUGAAGAAUAGAUAGGGACUAGAUACCAACUUUGAAUCACUGAUGUUUGCCAUACUCAGAAGGGGAAAUUAAUGAGAAAACAGUCCUCAUCUUUCUGUGAGAAAAGGGUAGUCCCACUCAGAGAGGCUUAUUAUUGGACUUGGUGAUUAUAUUUCUGUGAUCUGGCAGACAUUGGACUCGGUCUUUUUAGCAUUCAUGGGGUAGCUGAUUUGCAUGCCAAGAGUUAAUGUGCAUGGUAAAUAAAUUUAUAAAUCUGUAGUACUUUCCUAAGUGCCUAUGAUUUUAUUUUAUUUAUUUUUAAUUUUUUAUUGUUAUUUCCCCAAUUCAAUUUUUUUCCUACUGUACAGCAUGGUGAGCCAGUUACGCAUACAUGUAUACAUUCUCUUUUCUCACAUUAUCAUGCUCCAUCAUAAGUGACUAGACAUAGUUCCCAGUGCUACACAGCAGGAUCUCAUUGCUAAGCCAUUCCAAAAGCGAUAGUUUGCAUAUAUUAACCCCAAGCUCCCAAUCUAUCCCACUCCCUCCCCCUUCUCCUUGGCAACCACAAGUCUAUUCUGCAAGUCCAUGAUUUUCUUUUCUGUGGAAAGGUUCAUUUGUGCCUAUGAUUGAUCCUGUUGUUGGGAACUAAUUGUUACCCCCAUGGCUGUUACAAAAGAGCCAGGCUCCAGAAUAGGUGAUAGCUGUAAGAGAUAAAGUGCCCGCCUUCACUGCUGAAUUUUGGACCAAAAUGAUAAGGGUAACCCUCCCAAUUGGAGGAGUGCCCCAUCUUCAUAUAGUCCAAAUGUCCUGCCACAAAAACUUAACUUUCUCCUUGUUCUGCCAGAAACUCUUGAGCCACUUUGGUGCAAUAACUCUUGUCUGCAGUAAUGGAUUAUCCUUGCCAUAUCAUCUCCAUAGGACCAAGGAGAUCAAAAGGGUUUAAUUCAAAUGUCUCCAGCUAGCUUGGCGAGUGCCUGUCCAUUAAGCAAAUCAUUGGGGAGUAAAUAUCAUUCCCAUGAUAUUUGUUCUUACACAUGAUCACACUGCUUGAGGACAGAUAAGUCCUAUGGAAAAUAGGAUUCAGUCUACUUCUUUGCUUGGGACAGAAAUUGUCCAGUGAGUAGGGGGUUGCAGAUUAUUUGGGGUUUGCAACCCCAAAACAUGCUGCUUGGACAUAUUGGUUAUUUUGAGCUUGGGGACUUAAAAAAAAAAAAAAAAAAAAAGCUAAUAUGGUGAGGAAUGUUCUCUGAACUCCUCCUAUCUGCCUGGAGACAGAUCCUGUAAAAGGAAGUCAGUCAUCAUAAAUCCCCUCCCUCCCAGAGAGCUUCAUCAACCAGGGAGGAUUGGAUCUCACCACAGGAGGGGAGACUAAAGGCCGAAAUCACCUCUGGGCAAACUUUGUCACAGGCUAUCAUAUCUCCCAUCUGUUCUUCUAAGGGCCAAUUUGUCUUUUUUAAAUUAAUAUGCUCUCCAUUGAGAGACAUACAUUCCCCUGUCUUUUCUCUAUUAGGAUGGUAUUUAAGCCUGAAUUUCAGGCUACCUCAGGAGUUACUUAAUUUUCCCUAGAUAUCUCCCAUUUGUACAUACAUGAGGUAUAGAUGUUAAUACCCCUCUGUUUGUUUUUCUCUUGUCAAGCUGUCUCUUAUCAUAGGGGUCUCGGCUGAGAACUCAGAAGGGUAGGGAGUUCCCCUCAUGGCUCAGCAGUAACAAACCCAACUAGUAUCCAUGAAGACAUGGGUUCAAUCCCUGGUGCCUCUCCAUGGGUUAAGGAUCUGGCAUUGCUGUGACCUAUGGUAUAGGUUGUAGAUGCAACUUGGAUCCUGUGUUGCUGUGGCUGUGGUGUAGGCCAGCAGCUGCAGCUCCAAUUUGACCCCUAGCCUGGAAACUUCCAUAUGCUGUGGGUACAGUCCUAAAAAGACAAAAACAGAAACAAAACAAAAAACUCAGAAGGAUAGAGGGAAAAUGAUUUUCCCCAAAAAACACUGAUCUUUUGUUAUCCAUUCUCUACAUUCAGUGUAAUGACAUUGGAAUGAUCCAGUAGUGCUUUCCUACAUUACUCAAGGUACAUGUAAGGGGGAGGGAAGGUAGUAUUCUUGGAAGAAGGAAAACUAGUCUCUGGAUAUCUUUCUGUUACUUGUAUGGGGGAAGGAGUCAAGGAUUUUGCACUUUGGGAACCGACUGGGGGACGUGUUUUUGAAUUCCUGUGAUCUGUAGGGCCUUACCCUGGUUUUAUGAAAGUGCUAGAGAAAGAGAAUCUGUGUUUAUAAUUAAGGGAUAGAGAUGUGAUUAGAUAUGCUUUGUAGCAGCUACAUAGCCAACAGUAAUGUGGAGGACCAGAAGGAUACUGGGGCUAGGUGACCAGCAAGGAAGCUACUGCACAUAUCAAACCCAGACUUAGAGGAGCAGCUGUGAUAGAGGGAGGAUAAGGGCCAAGACUUUCUCACUGGCUAUAUCCAUGUGCUAUUAAUGUGUUUUUCAUCUUAGGGGAUCAUUUCUCAGGAAGCAUUUACUGCAAUCCCAGUGCCACAGGUUGCUUCCUAGUUCAUGUAUCAUUUAUGUGAAGAAUAUAGAUUAGGCCAUGUCCAACCAGUAAUGACUUGGUUUUGGGCCUUGCUUCCUGGGGAAUGUCAGCUGCCAGUCUCCUGACUUUAUGACUUCCAUGUAAAACCGAAUCCUCCUCCUUGUAAACGUGUCCUACCCCUACCAUCCUCCUCCUGUGUGAAGAGUUUGCAUUUUCAUCUUAAAAGAAGAAAUACCAGGUGUUGGCUCUGUGUAGAGUAUGUUGCUACCAAGAACCUGUAACAAGUUGCAGAUUCUUGUCCUGGCUCAGCAGUAACAAUGUGGGUUUGAUCCCUGGUCCUAUUCAGUGAGUUAAGAAUCCAUUAUAGUCAAAAGCUAUAAUGUAAGUCACAGACAAUGCUCAGAUCUCAUGUUGCUGUGUUGUGGCUCAGGCUGGCAGCCAUAGCUCCAAUUUGAUCCCUAGCCUGGGAACUUCCAUAUGCCACGGGUGUGGUCCUAAAAAGAAAAGAAAAAAAAAAAA